rnacentral:tRNA from 1 species
AGGCUGUUAAUUUAAAAAAAAUCUUUGAUUUCGGCUCAAAAACUUGUGGUUAAAGUCCACAACUGCCUA